UAUAAUGGGUCAGCGACUUAUAUUCUGUAGCAAGGUUAACCGUAUAGGGGAGCCGCAGGGAAACCGAGUCUUAACUGGGCGUUAAGUUGCAGGGUAUAGACCCGAAACCCGGUGAUCUAGCCAUGGGCAGGUUGAAGGUUGGGUAACACUAACUGGAGGACCGAACCGACUAAUGUUGAAAAAUUAGCGGAUGACUUGUGGCUGGGGGUGAAAGGCCAAUCAAACCGGGAGAUAGCUGGUUCUCCCCGAAAGCUAUUUAGGUAGCGCCUCGUGAAUUCAUCUUCGGGGGUAGAGCACUGUUUCGGCUAGGGGGUCAUCCCGACUUACCAACCCGAUGCAAACUACGAAUACCGAAGAAUGUUAUCACGGGAGACACACGGCGGGUGCUAACGUCCGUCGUGAAGAGGGAAACAACCCAGACCGCCAGCUAAGGUCCCAAAGUCAUGGUUAAGUGGGAAACGAUGUGGGAAGGCACAGACAGCCAGGAUGUUGGCUUAGAAGCAGCCAUCAUUUAAAGAAAGCGUAAUAGCUCACUGGUCGAGUCGGCCUGCGCGGAAGAUGUAACGGGGCUAAACCAUG
rnacentral:rRNA from 1 species